CAAGUUCAGCAGGCGGAUCACAACCAAGAACCGGAUGCAAGCAAAAACCUGUCCUAUCGAGCACUGCAGUUGCUGGAGAGAUAUGGCCUUCAGGUGGUUUCUCAUCUCCCUCUGGCUGACGCUGUCCAUCUCAGAUCAUGAGAUUUCCAUUCGGAAAGUUGAAAAAGGAUCCAUAGCUUGGUUAACUGAUGAUAUCGUAAAUGCAACAGACAUUACUAAGGUUGUGUGGAGAAUCCCAUCAGGCCCAACCAAGAUAGCGGAAUGCGUGAAUGGGAAAUUGACAUAUCCCAAUACUGAAAAGUAUAAUCAACGAAUAGCUGUUCAUCCUGCAGACUGUAGUUUACAAAUCCAUGAUGUACAGAAAGAGGACGAGCAUGUUUAUGAGGUGACUGUUACGCAAAGUUCAGGAAAACAGACUGUGAAGAAAUUGCAACUGAAGGUAUUUGAUCCAGCUCUCAGAUCUUCAUGCAAUGGUCAGAAGAUUGCCACUGUGAUCCUCCCCAUGAUCCUUGCCGUGAUCGUCAUUGUGGUCAUUCUGUGACAGGCCAAGUGGAGAGCCAUCCUUUGGAAGAUCAAAAGAAGGAGCCUGCAACUAAUGCAUUGGAAUAGAACCCAGCUCACAGAUAUUUCCGCCAUCAGGACAGCAAGUACCUCUCCAAACCCAAUCACUGCGAAAUGAUGCCCACUCCCUCCUGGUCCCACAAGCACAGAAGUUGUGUGUAGGGGUCCGCCCCUCUACUGGAACCCCUGCCUUUGUUCAACAAUUCCAAAUUGCGUUAUAUACUCUGGGUUCUGCAGCGACUGAUGGUAACCACACUCCCGGAUCUGGGAUCCUCUCUACUGCACACAGUCUUGUGUCCACUACUCAUCUGCCUGUCUGUCCCUCAUUUUCUCCCUGCUGCUCAGAUCUAACACCGGCCACCUUUCCUCCUGAUUCUAGUCCUGAGAAUCUACAACUUUCUUGUCCUCUCUCAGUAUUCUCUCCUGUGUCCCCACCCGAAAUCCUGUGCCUACAUCAUUCCCCAGCAUCGCUACACAUCCCCAUGUAAUCCCCACACUCUGUCAUCACUGAAUGCUCUUUUCAUGUUCUCACCUUUUUUCUUUUCCUCUAUCCUACCUGGGUAAAGUCCACAAGACAUUGGUGCAGAAUGAGGCUAUUCAGCCCAUCGAGUCAGCUCCAUUAUUUGAUCAAGGCUGGUCUAUUUCUCUCUCAGUCACAUUCUUCUGCCUUCUCCACCUAAUCUUCCAUGCCCUGACAUAUCAAGACUCCAUCAACAUUAGCUUUAAAUAUACUCAGCGAUCUGGCCUCCAAAGCCACCAAAGUAAUACAUUCCACAGAUGCAACAACCUCUGGCUAAAGAAAUUCCUCCUCAUCUCCAUUUCAAAUAGACAUCUCUCUAUUCUGACAUUGUGACCUCUAAUCCUAUACUGUCCAACAAUCAGAAACAUCCUCUCCACAUCCAGUCUAUCUAGUACUUUCAACAUUCAAUAGGUUAAAAUGAGGUACUCCCUCAUUCUUCUAAAUUUCAGUGAGUACUGGUCCAGAGGUAUCCAACGUUGCUCAUGUGAUAAGACUCUCAAGUCCAAAAACAUUUUCUGAACCCCCUCUGAACCCUCUCCAAUGUCAGCACACCUUUUCAUAGAAAAGUGCCUCAAACUGUUGACGAUACUGCAAAUGAUGCAUCACCAGCCUCAGCUUUACACCCUUGUUUUUAUAUUCUAGUUCUCUCAAAAUCAAUGUUAACAUUGCAUCUGCCUUCCUCACCACAAACUUAAACUGCAAGUUAACCUUUAGAGAAUCCUGCACAAGGAAUCACAUUUCCCUAAGGUUUUGUCCUGAAACAUCAACUGUACUCUUUUCCAUAAAUGAGUUCCUUUGAUCUCCAGCAUUUGCAGAGUUACUCGUGUUUGUGGUUGUAUUCCCUUUGCACUUUGGAUUUAUGAAUUUUCUACCCAUUUAGAAAAUAGUCUACUGUUUCAUUCCUCCUCCCAAAGUGGAAUUUAGUUCCUGACACGAUGUUACAUCUGACAUUUCUUUGCCAAAUCUCCUCAUCUGUCCAAGUCUUUCUGCAGUGUCUCUGCCUCUGUAAUACUAUCUGCCCCUUUAGCUAUCUUCAUAUCAUCCACGAACUUGUGUACAAAGCCAUCAACUCCAUCACCCAAAUCAUUGAUACACAACGUGAAAAGAAUAAGUCCCAACGCCGAACCCUGUGGAACACAACUUGUCAGCAGCAGCAAAUCAAAAAUGUUCCCUGUAUUCCUGCUUUAUGUCUCCUUCUAAUUAUCCAAUGAUCUUCCAAUCCUAUGUCACCGCUUACCAAGGAUAUGAUUUAUUUUUUAUCAAUAGGGCCAUGCUACACCGUCUGCCUACCUGCCUGUCAUUUCAAUACAAUGUGUAUCCAUGGAUAUUAAGCUCUCAACAAUAAUUUUCUUUCCCAUGACUCAGUGAUGCCCACAACAUCAUACCUGUCAAUCUCUGACUGACCGUCUAACAAGACCGUCUAUCUUAUUUUGCAUGCAGAGUGCAUUCAAAUAUAACACCUUCAGUUAGCUGUUUCCCCUUCGAUAAACUUGUCAGCCCCAGCUGAUCAGUCACACUGAGCUUCACAAUGUACUGCGGCCCCCACACUGUAACUUCCUGUUCCCCAUCCCACAAUCCCUCCCGGGACAUCCCUCGUAAUUCUCAUUGCCAUCCUGAAGGAAAGUCCCAGAUGCUGGAGCUGAGGGUGGAACCUGUGCAAAACCCAGGAUGUCGGAUGUAGUGAAGGGUCCUGUGAAGCCUUUCUCAAGAUUCUGGGGCUGUGGAUGGCCACACACUGCAAGUGGUUUAUUGUUAAUAUUGUGCGCUCCCUGCCCACAUGAACUGGUGAAGGUUUCACCAGUGAAAUCACGCUCAGUCUUUCAGCCAGAGAACCUGGUGAUGGGGUAUCGGGCAAAGGGCACAUUUUUAAGCUGUGCAUUGUCGGAUUUAAUGGCUUGGACAGCGUCCAUGGCGAGUUAAUGUUUCAGCUCACACAUGUCUCUCUCCACAGCUGCUGCCUGACCUGCCUCGGGCUUCCAGCAUUUCCUGAUUUUGCUAGAGAUCUCCAGCUUAUAGAAUUGUUUUAUAUUUACUCCUUUAGAUUGUGUACUUUAUAAUAAAUUCUUAUACAGUUUUUACCCAAAACCGUCCUGUUCUUGGACUGCAGCAGGUUUACUAAGACAAGUCAGCUCGUGGGGUGCUGUGGUCUGAAUGGACAGCCCAUGGACCAGCACUCUAGGAUUGGCCGAAGUGGUUGUGGUACAAUCUUAUUGGACACCAUUAUUACCGCACACCUGAUUGUCCGUCACUUGGCUGCCGCGUUUACUAAUUGGCUGCUGGAAUACCUCACUUCCUGAUUGGAUCAGCUGGUAGUAGCGCAACAUGCCACUGACCAGACGGAUUGGUUCGCUGAUGUGACGGUGACCGCAUGCGACACGAAGAGCUGACGCCGACUCUUCGGUUUACCGUGUUCGCUGGUUCAAGGGUCCGAGGAAGGCAGGUGUAUUGGCGGGAUACACUUCCUCUGGUCUGUGGAUGCACCCAUUCCUCUCACACCGGCCUUCCCCACAAUCCCUCCACCCCGUCUGUUGGAUUCUUCAUCUGUCAAAGGAGAUCAGUAUGACGAGAUCCUAAGGCUUAUUCAUUAUGGACUGUGCCUUUAAAAAUAAAGCGCCGCUGAUUCAGAGAGAGAGAAGCACAGAGCAGCUCGUGAGUUGAUAUGAUGAUGGAAGGGCGGAGCUAUAUAAUGGACAGCUGGUCUUCAGCAUGGUUGAAUAUAUAAACAAGGUCAUCUGGUUUUCAGGCAGACACCCGGAAGACACACAGAGAUACAGAAGAAAUAGACACUGAGUGCCCAUGACAGGGUGGGUUUUGCUCACAGUGUGGAAAAAGGGUGACCGGUGGAAAGCUAUUGGUGUGUUUAACCCUUGCCUGGGUUGAUAGCUUUACCACGUGAAGAUGGUACCCUUAGCGAGGUCACAGUCAGUGACCUUAAAAGGUUUUCAGAGGACAACGGGAAGAUCAACAGCAUCGGCUUACUUGGAUAACAAAUCACCUCUUUCUCUCUCCUCAAUUCUACUCAACUCAACAUCACGAACUGAACUGACUUCGUUUAUAUACCAUCGUAAGACUGUAUCAUUUGCCACCUAAGCUUGAAGAAGAUUGGAGUUUUAUAUUUUCACACUUAUAUAUGCACGAACUCUGCUGACCUGUUUGAUUUAUCUGGUUUUAUAUUACUAUA